rnacentral:rRNA from 1 species
AUACGGAGGGUGCAAGCGUUAAUCGGAAUUACUGGGCGUAAAGCGCACGCAGGCGGUCUGUCAAGUCGGAUGCGAAAUCCCCGGGCUCAACCUGGGAACUGCAUUCGAAACUGGCAGGCUAGAGUCUUGUAGAGGGGGGUAGAAUUCCAGGUGUAGCGGUGAAAUGCGUAGAGAUCUGGAGGAAUACCGGUGGCGAAGGCGGCCCCCUGGACAAAGACUGACGCUCAGGUGCGAAAGCGUGGGGAGCAAACAGGAUUAGAUACCCUGGUAGUCCACGCCGUAAACGAUGUCGACUUGGAGGUUGUGCCCUUGAGGCGUGGCUUCCGGAGCUAACGCGUUAAGUCGACCGCCUGGGGAGUACGGCCGCAAGGUUAAAACUCAAAUGAAUUGGCGGGG